rnacentral:rRNA from 1 species
CCUACGGGAGGCAGCAGUGGGGAAUUUUGGACAAUGGGCGCAAGCCUGAUCCAGCAAUGCCGCGUGCAGGAUGAAGGCCUUCGGGUUGUAAACUGCUUUUGUACGGAGCGAAACGGUCUGCUUUAAUACAGUAGGCUAAUGACGGUACCGUAAGAAUAAGCACCGGCUAACUACGUGCCAGCAGCCGCGGUAAUACGUAGGGUGCGAGCGUUAAUCGGAAUUACUGGGCGUAAAGCGUGCGCAGGCGGUUAUAUAAGACAGAUGUGAAAUCCCCGGGCUCAACCUGGGACCUGCAUUUGUGACUGUAUAGCUAGAGUACGGUAGAGGGGGAUGGAAUUCCGCGUGUAGCAGUGAAAUGCGUAGAUAUGCGGAGGAACACCGAUGGCGAAGGCAAUCCCCUGGACCUGUACUGACGCUCAUGCACGAAAGCGUGGGGAGCAAACAGGAUUAGAUACCCUGGCAGUCCACGCCCUAAACGAUGUCAACUGGUUGUUGGGUCUUCACUGACUCAGUAACGAAGCUAACGCGUGAAGUUGACCGCCUGGGGAGUCGGCCGCAAGGUUGAACGUUAAGGAAUUGACGGCUGAGAGNGCGAGCGACGACGAGGGAGGAGG